rnacentral:rRNA from 1 species
GCCGAAAAUGUACCGGGGCUAAACAUAUUACCGAAACUGUGGAUGAACCUCUUUAGAGGUUCGUGGUAGGAGAGCGUUCUAAGGGCGGUGAAGUCAGACCGGAAGGACUGGUGGAGCGCUUAGAAGUGAGAAUGCCGGUAUGAGUAGCGAAAGAAGGGUGAGAAUCCCUUCCACCGAAUAUCUAAGGUUUCCUGAGGAAGGCUCGUCCGCUCAGGGUUAGUCGGGACCUAAGCCGAGGCCGAUAGGCGUAGGCGAUGGACAACAGGUAGAGAUUCCUGUACCAGUGCUAAUUGUUUAACCGAUGGGGUGACACAGAAGGAUAGGGAAUCGCACGAAUGGAAAUGUGCGUCCAAGCAGUGAGUGUGAGAAGUAGGCAAAUCCGCUUCUCGCGAAGCAUGAGCUGUGAUGGGGAAGGAAAUUAAGUACGGAAGUUCCUGAUUUCACGCUGUCAAGAAAAGCCUCUAGG